GGGUCGUUAGCUCAGUUGCUAGAGCAGUUGACUUUUAAUCAAUUGGUCGCAGGUUCGAAUCCUGCACGACCCACCA
rnacentral:tRNA from 1 species